rnacentral:rRNA from 1 species
UACGGAGGGAGCAAGCGUUACUCGGAAUUAUUGGGCGUAAAGGGCGCGUAGGCGAUUUGACAAGUCUUGUGUGAAAGCCCCGGGCUUAACCCGGGAAGUGCACAAGAAACUGUUGAAUUUGAGUUCCGGAGAGGAAGGCAGAAUUCCCGGUGUAGCGGUGAAAUGCGUAGAUAUCGGGAGGAAUACCAGUGGCGAAGGCGGCCUUCUGGACGGAUACUGACGCUGAGGCGCGAAAGCCAGGGGAGCAAACGGG